UCAGACACCACCGGGAACUGAGACACGGUCCAGACUCCUACGGGAGGCAGCAGUGAGGAAUAUUGCACAAUGGAGGAAACUUUGAAUGCAGCAACGCCGCGUGGAGGAUGACGCAUUUCGGUGUGUAAACUCCUUUUAUUAGGGAAGAUAAUGACGGUACCUAAUGAAUAAGCCCCGGCUAACUCCGUGCCAGCAGCCGCGGUAAUACGGAGGGUGCAAGCGUUAUUUGGAAUCACUGGGCGUAAAGGGUGCGUAGGCUGGCUUUUAAGUCAGAUGUGAAAUCCAAUGGCUCAACCAUUGAACUGCAUUUGAAACUGAAAGCCUAGAGUUCAGAAGGGGCAGAUGGAAUUAGUGGUGUAGGGGUAAA
rnacentral:rRNA from 1 species